UAUACUUAAUUGUUUGUAUAAACCUAUUUAAUUACGAUUUUAUUCUUUUCUUUCUUUAUACAUUUUAUUAGUAAGAAAUGAAAUUGGCCCCAAAAUUGCGCGGAAUUCAUACUGCACACACAAACCUAUAUAUUUUCUUUUGUCUAAAUCAGAGUCCAUCUUUUUGGAAACCCGCAUCGACUCAGACUGCUUCAAUUGAAAACGCUGAACAAUAACAUUGUAACACUGUAUAGAAUGUACGAAUCAAAGUGUGCCAUCUCCAAGCAAUUUUCAGUCGAUAUUCUGCAAAAUUCGGACGAAGAUUUUAUCACAGAGAACGUAAUAGAAAUUUCAUAAGAGAUGCGAUUGCCCUGUGAAUUAUAAAUAAGAAACAGCUCUUAAGCUCGUAAAGAUCGCUCGCCCCUGGGAGAUACAAAUAUAAGGGGCUAAGCUGAAGAGAGUUAAUAUCAAGAUAAUCAAUACUACUGAUGACAUUACAAUUAAUAAAAAGAACGUAUGUGAGAAAUAAUAUCAGUAUUGACAAAAUAUAUUCGUCGGUAAAAGCUGUUAAGAGAGAUAACGAUGCGUUUGGAAAACGAGGUGAGCUUGGCGAGGUAAUUGCAAAUGACGAUUUUCCGUCCAUCUUAUAGCGUACGAUUUUAACGAGGACGAUCGCAACGCGAAAACGAUCACGUUCCAGCGAAUUGAGCAUCGUGUAUACUUGAUACAUCCCUUUUAUCGACUUCCACCAGAGAAUAUCCCGGCAAAGUGCCGCGCGCCGUCAAGGCAACGAUUUUCAAAGUUCCAGCGCCAUUCCUGAUAUACAAAAAAAAAAGGAAGGAAAGACAAUGUUGGUAAAUUUUUUCUACGGUUUUUCCACGAAUUUUUCCACAAGAAGGAAUUCCAUUCCCUCUUUUAAAAUAAUUUAUAUGCAUAUAUUUCGUACUUAUUCUAUUCAAUCCAAACGUGACGAUCGUAACUCGAGAACCGUCUGGCUUUUGCCCCUCGGAAGUGAAAGGCCGGCCUUCGGAAAACGCUGCCUUAACAUGGCUUUUAGAUGUGCGAAUACAAGAGACUAUUCCGUGCCGGAAAGUUUUCGGGAUCGAUAAAGUCGAUGUGCCGUCCCAUCCUUCUCGUGAUUCACUUUUGGAAACGAUUCGUGGACAUAUUGCCUUGCCGUAUUAAUGAUAAGUAUACUUGAGAGAACAUUUCGAGCGAAUUACAAAAAUGCCGAGAUUAAGAAGUUAUGAUAUUGAAUGAUACGAAUAAACGUCGAGAGAGAAAUCGAGCGAAUUAAUAGAUGUUCAAAUAAUAUAAAAUAUUCCCGUUUAACGUGCGUUCAACGUUUAACACGCAUUGUAAUUAUAAUAUAUAUGUAAAAGAAAUUUCAUGAAGAAAAUCAAAAGUAGUAUGUAACAUGUGAUUAUUAAAGAAGGAUGGUUUGGUUAAACUUUGUAGAAUUUACUAACAAGUAUUAAUAUACCCAAAAGUACGCAUAUGUACACACAAUUUA